rnacentral:rRNA from 1 species
AGUUGAGCGGCAGCACAGAGAAACUUGUUUCUUGGGUGGCGAGCGGCGGACGGGUGAGUAAUGCCUGGGAAAUUGCCCUGAUGUGGGGGAUAACCAUUGGAAACGAUGGCUAAUACCGCAUGAUGCCUACGGGCCAAAGAGGGGGACCUUCGGGCCUCUCGCGUCAGGAUAUGCCUAGGUGGGAUUAGCUAGUUGGUGAGGUAAGGGCUCACCAAGGCGACGAUCCCUAGCUGGUCUGAGAGGAUGAUCAGCCACACUGGAACUGAGACACGGUCCAGACUCCUACGGGAGGCAGCAGUGGGGAAUAUUGCACAAUGGGCGCAAGCCUGAUGCAGCCAUGCCGCGUGUGUGAAGAAGGCCUUCGGGUUGUAAAGCACUUUCAGUCGUGAGGAAGGCGGUGUAGUUAAUAGCUGCAUCGUUUGACGUUAGCGACAGAAGAAGCACCGGCUAACUCCGUGCCAGCAGCCGCGGUAAUACGGAGGGUGCGAGCGUUAAUCGGAAUUACUGGGCGUAAAGCGCAUGCAGGUGGUUUGUUAAGUCAGAUGUGAAAGCCCGGGGCUCAACCUCGGAAUUGCAUUUGAAACUGGCAGACUAGAGUACUGUAGAGGGGGGUAGAAUUUCAGGUGUAGCGGUGAAAUGCGUAGAGAUCUGAAGGAAUACCGGUGGCGAA